GACGAACGCUGGCGGCGUGCUUAACACAUGCAAGUCGAACGGAAAGGCCCUGCUUUUGUGGGGUGCUCGAGUGGCGAACGGGUGAGUAACACGUGAGUAACCUGCCCUUGACUUUGGGAUAACUUCAGGAAACUGGGGCUAAUACCGGAUAGGAGCUCCUGCUGCAUGGUGGGGGUUGGAAAGUUUCGGCGGUUGGGGAUGGACUCGCGGCUUAUCAGCUUGUUGGUGGGGUAGUGGCUUACCAAGGCUUUGAUGGGUAGCCGGCCUGAGAGGGUGACCGGCCACAUUGGGACUGAGAUACGGCCCAGACUCCUACGGGGGGCAGCAGUGGGGAAUAUUGCACAAUGGGCGGAAGCCUGAUGCAGCAACGCCGCGUGCGGGAUGACGGCCUUCGGGUUGUAAACCGCUUUCGCCUGUGACGAAGCGUGAGUGACGGUAAUGGGUAAAGAAGCACCGGCUAACUACGUG
rnacentral:rRNA from 1 species